GUAACUAGCAGCACAGUACAAAGCCUGGUGCCUACAGGUCUGAGUCCUGUCUGUAUUGACGGUGGCCAGGGCUCUGUCAGUUCUUAAUUCUCGUUUACUUUUAUCUUCUGAUGGCUUCAUCAGUAAUAAGUGAAAUCAACAGCCAGUUCUCUACAGAGACAGGACAAUACAGCAAAGGCAUGCACCACAUAUAUGGGAUCAGCAGACUGGGGUCAGAUCCAUGGGCUGUUCCAGAAAAUCUGGAUGCAAAAAGAAGAGUGGUAGGUAAAGCAAGUAUUCAUUUUAAAAGUUUAUUUAGAAGUAUUCUCAGAAACUUGCUUGAGUCUGUUCAUUUGCCAUUUUACAAAAAGAUGCCAGAGGGAAAAUUAGUGGAAGACAAUGUUCUAUGCAGAAAAGUACCCUCGUUUAGCUGUCAUAAGCUAUGCUGAACACCUAAGAUUAAAGAAAGCAUCAAAUCCACCAGCAGCUCUUCUUUUAUUUCUUUCUCCUUCUGCUAUAAAUUAAGUGGUGGGGUUUGCAUUGAGUGAAGGGGGUUUGGGCCUUGUGAGAUCACUAGGAGCUUCUGGCACAGCUGCAGCUGAGCAGAGCCCAGAAGGGGAAAAAAAAUUACUUUUCUCUUCAUCAUAUAUGUUUUUCUUCAUACUGUGCCAUUGUAUCACCUCCCUAGCAUUGUGCUCUUCUUAUAAUUUUUCUUCUAUUUCUCAGCAAACUCUCAUCAAAUAUCUCAAACCACCACAAUCAAGAAAAUUGAAAUAAUAAACAAAAGUUAAGGCACGGCGGUUCUCUGCA
rnacentral:lncRNA from 1 species